rnacentral:pre_miRNA from 1 species
UUGGAUGUGAAUUUAUUUAUGUUUGGAUACACUUGCUUAAAAAUGAUUCUUAUGAAUUGAUAUUGUUUGGAUAG